AGAGUCUGUCAUGUUCAUCUCACCUGUGAUGACUUUGAAGUGAAUGUGUUAUCAGUAGUUCAGCCCAACAAUAUUGUGUGAACCAGAGCAAAAAUGAAAAUGGAGAAAGGAAAUGCACACAAAAGCACCAUUAUCAGCUGGUUCCAUCUGAACAAUCACAUCGUGCGCGGAUAAGGACAGAUGGAUCUGGCUGCCUUGAAGGCGUGGGGUUUCAGGCAGAUUGUUACAAUUCUUCCCCAGAUUUGAGAGCCUGUGCAGCACUGAUGCUCGUUAAGCCCAUUGCCCUUUUGAAACCAAUUUCGGUGUCUCUGCACUCAUGCCCGUGCGAAUAUGUGGUCAGCUUGCUUUUUCAGGCUGUCGCGCCCCAUGCAGCGCUUAGCUCUGUCUGGAUUAUGACAGCACUUUCCCUGCUCUGGGUCACCAGGAUCAGCUCUCACUCAACACCACAGCCAUACAUAUAAUCCCAUCAGCCCCAGCAUGGAAGAAGAGGAUUUCAGGGUGACUAUGAGGACUUUACAGAAGAUUAGGCCACUGGAUAUCUCAUUCCACAUCACAAAUGGAGAUCACAGUCUCGUGCAGGACAGAGGAACAAAACAAACACACACGGCCUGAUGAUUCGGCAAAAACACACACAGGAAAUUAUGGCAUCAGUUAUUCAGGAAAGUUUGACCUGCCAGGGGAAAAAUGCGAUGAUCCAUCUAAGUGGCUGUGGUAUUCAGCUGGUGUCUAACAAGGGCGGUCUCUCACGCACACCUGCCCUCCAUCUGUUACCGACACA